UUGGAGCUGUCAGACUUCAUAGUCCGAUCAAAAUCCACUUGUCGUUCGGUUGCCAUUGUCCUUCUAUUAAUCUCUGACCUGAUGGAUUCUACAUCCAUCGCAUCAUCACAAAGGCGCCGCAGUAUCUCAAUCUUUGUCAUCACAGGUAGUUUGUAAUAGUCACUCUGAGAAAGCUUCAAGUGACAGAGAUCGAAACCAGAGACGUAUCCAGAACUGUAUACUAACAGAUACUCAACAACAAACACGGGCCAUGUGAUCAAAUCCAGCAAAUCCCAAUUAUGAGACCUAAGUUACAAAUAGAAUAUAAAAGAAUUAUGUACCAAGAAAUUGGAACCGAAAUGCAUAACUUUUGGAAUCAAAGUAAACUAAAUACCUGAGACAAUUAGACGAAGACAUAUCACCUUCACUGGAAAGCAACUCCAAAUGCUUCCGUAAUGUUUGCAAAAGGCAAACGUGAACGGAAUCAAACAAUAAUGUAGAAUGGUUACAUUUCACGGAUGCCAGAAAAUCAUCCAGCUCAAAUGGGCUUAGAAACAGUGAAGUACUGAAAGACCUCAAGAAUGCAUAAACAGAAAGAAUAUCAAAUGCAGAAACACCAUUUAUAUCCAAAUUUCCAGAAGAAGGUGGCAACUCCACCUUUGGCGGAAGAACAUCCUCCUCAGAUCUUUUACGACACAACACUUCAAUCUUUUCCUCGCAAACUGAACUAAUCGCUGGAGAGGACAGCCGAUUACUGACUCUGUCUAUCCCUACUGUAUUAAAAACAUGAUCUUGACCAGAAAAAGAAUCCCUAUUCACUCUGCGAUUGCUCCUUCUCAAUCCUGUUUCUGGUGUAGCAGAUGUAAUAUUAUUAUCAGAUACAUCUCUUCUCUUCCUACCUCUUCUCCCUCCUGGCGCACUUCCAGGAACUUGUUUAUCAUAAUCAAGUACACCACUACCACUUUCCCGUUGUUUUUCGUAGUUGUCUUUUGAGUUUAUAUUCACAUUUCUUCCAUCCGUGUUUGCCAUCUGUGGCACGUCCAAGUUAAUAUUGUCAUCCGAGAUCCUUCUUCUCUUCCUACCCCUUCUGCCCCUUGGCACACUGACAGGAACCUCAUUUUCAAAAUCAACUCUGCCGGCACAGUUCUCCGCUGUUACGCCUAUUUUUUCUAAAUUUAUAUUCUCAUUUCCAUUUUCACCCUUCACAUUAAAUAAAAUAACCUUAUCAUCCCCACGAAUCUCUUCCUUCUCUGGCUUAUCUUCUUCUGCACAGAAUUUUUCAUUUUCCCCAAACUUUCCCGGUGAGUUACCUGAAUUCUUAAUCUCAUUCUCUGGUAACUCGAAAUUCAAGUCAAGACAAACCCUUUUUUUCUCGGGACUAAAAUUCUCAGAAUCUUCAUUUACAUCCAAAUUCAAAUCAAUUAUUUCUUUCCUUUUACCCGACCUGUCGUAUGAAACCCCUUCAUUGAAAUCCAUACCCUCAUUCCUCAACUCCAAAUUCACCGCUUCAUUCAAAUCCACACCUUGCAGCUUAGCCCCACCACCAGCACAGUUAUAACCCAAAUUCCCCCCAUCGUCAUCAUUCAAAUUAUUAAACCCAUCAUCAUUUAUAUCCAACCCUUCAUUCAAAUUAAAACCAGCCGCAUUCAAUUCCAUUUCCCCAGAACCCCCACCUAGAUUACCAGAAACACCACUCUCUAAUACCGAAAUAUCAAUUUUACCUGUAUUUAUGUGGCUCCGCUUCCUCGGUUUGCGGCCAAGCCUUCUGGUGGGCUCCUCCACGAAGGAUGGCUGCGCUUCCCGAGCCAAUUCCAGUCCCUCGGGAGACACCAACAGAGAACUAAUUUCAUUCAAGUCCAAUUCCUCGGAAUCGCCGUCUUCGUACACGAUCUUGAAAAACCCAGUUGACGCGUCAUAUGAUUCGACGGAACCGAAGAAUGUACCGUGCCCUUCAAACUCUUUCUUCACCUUUCUCCCCACGAACUCCAUUUCCCUAAAAUUCAGACCUUCAUGAAUACCAUAAAAUAAAAAAAUAAAAAAUAUCGAAGAAUAUAUUGAAACUGAAAGAAUAAAACCCGGAAUUCGAAUCGAUCUCUAUAACCCCUUUCAGUCUCGGAAAGAGAGAAAAAUGGUUGGGAGUUUUCGCUUCGAGUCUCUCUCUCUAGACUACAAAGUAAAAAGAAGUUGGUGUUUUGACGGUGUGAGAGAGUGGGGACUACACGCAGUCUAAGCAAUGUGAAUAACUACACAGCUGCGUUUCUUACGUGACUGACUUCAAAACGGAUGAAAAUAAGUGCUUUUACACACACACACACACACAAUUACUUAAUUACGUUUGACCGUAUUUGUGUAUAUGAAUGUAUUUUUAGUUGAAUACGAUAACUAUGCAAUUAUAACUUUAAUUGACAGACUGAUUUUAAUCAACAAGGUUAAUCGUGAUGUAGUUUUGAAAUACGUGCAAUUGUAUUUGAAUACAUGACUACGGAAUAAAUUUUGAUUGGUUGAUAGAUUUAUUGGUGAAGUUUAUUUGCCAAAUAGAUGGAUGUUCGUAAUCAUCGAUGAUGGUGCAACUAUAACUUUAACAGAUAGGAUUUAUAAAUGGAGUAAUAAUAUUUAUUAUUAACGAUAAUCAUAAUCAGUGUAGGUGACUGUAGAUCUUCUGAAUUAUUAUUUAUUUCAUUAAAAUGUAUCACAACACCAUUUGAAAGGGAAAUUAAUGAGUCCAUGACCACCUAAAUAGUAUUGCCCUAUUAAUAGCCUGUUUGGGAGUGAUUUUAAAAAUUGAUUUUUUGACCGUUAGGAAAAAAGUGGGGUCCACCUGUGAGGGAAGAAGUCAAAUAUGAUGGCUGAAAUAGUGAAAUAACGGUCAAAAAAUCAACUUUUUGAGGAAAGAAAUGGGCCCAAAUAGGCCAUAAAUAAGGUUAUUUUGGUAAGUGGGAUUUUUGUCUCAAAUCAAGAUUUUUGAAAUGUAUGUGCUUGUUUGCAUUUCUGUAAUCGUAUUUGAAUGCAAUAACAAUGUAAUAUAAUAACUUUAAAGAGGUGACUUAAUAAAGAGGGGGGUGUGUAUUUGUCAUUCAAUGUGAUGACAAUUUAACGAUAACUUUAUCGUGCAGAUUUGGUAAAUAAGGCAUUUGGUAGCUGUAAUAUUAUCAAUUUUUUAAAAUGCAAAAAUGUGUAUUUAUAUUUAUAUACAUGUUGUGUGUGUAUAUAUCAUUGAAUGCGAUGACGAUGCAGUGAGGCAUAUAUAUACAUGUUUGUGGCUACAUUCACACUAUCUUUAACAAAGUGAACGAUAAAAGUAGUUUAGUUGGUACUGGUGAUUUUGUCUUCCUUCGAUACUUGUGAAAAAAGCAUGUAAGCAAUGGUAACUUUAGCAGAGUUGUUUAAUAAAUUAGGUAAGUUGGUAGCGAUGCUCUUGUUCGUUUUCGAAAAUUACAAUUUUUCUUGUAUGUGUAUGUAUAUUUAACAUCAAUUUUAACGAAGGUAGUGUAGGUAAGAAUGUUACUUACCACGUGGUGUUUGAUUCAUUUAUGUGUCUUAAUACGAUUGGAUGAAGUACAACUUAGAGAUACAAUUAAAUUAGCUUCAUAAGGGUCAAAAUUAGAGAGAUGUUUUGAGGAUAAUAGAAGUAUUGUUGCAAUUCCCUUAUCAUUUUUUAGAAAUUGCGUUCGUAUAUCUUUUAUGGGAUAUUUCUUGGCUUUUGAACUUUGACAUUUCUUUAUGUAAACAUAAUUGCUUAGGCCAUAUGUGAGUCUCCUUUUUGUUUAGAAUAAAUUUUGUAAGAGCGAAUUUUUUUUAUUUUUAUUUUUUAAAAUGUGGGGUUAGAAAAUAGGCAAAGUUUUAAAUUUGAAUUCAAAAUUAUUUUAUUGAAGGAACGUAAUCUUAAAAAUGAGAAAAGAUGAAUUUUAAACAUGAGCUUAACAAAGUUUAAUUGAAGUUGUAACACUACUUUCCACACAACAUGAUUAUAAGCAUUUUCCUGUUGUUUGUCAUUAAACACGAUGACGCAACAUUAAGUUUAAUCAAGUAAUUUAAUAAAUAAGGUUAUUUUUGCGAGGCGGGCAUGUUUAUAUGCUUGUGUGUAUGUAUUUGUCAACUGUCAUUCAAUGUGAUGACGAUGCAACCCUUAACCUUGUUAGAGUGAUUUUAUGACGUAUGUAAUUUGGUCGUGGUGUUUUUUAUUAUUGUUCGAGAUUUAAAAAAUACGUUCAUAUGUAAACUUCAAAAGAGUCAAUAGAAUAAGUUAGUCUAUUGUUGUGCUUAAUUUUGUUAUGAAACUUAAAUAGUUUUGUGUAUAUAUUCAUAUAUAAGCAACAUUGAUAUGAACAGAGUUGAUUUAAAGUCUGUUUGAUAGAAGUUAAAAUCCAAAUUUUAGUUUUAAGUCAAAGUAUUCAAUUAAUUUAUAUAUAUAUAUAUAUAUAAACUCUUUUUUCAAUACCAUGCUAGUUGAAGCAACUUUAUGAUCAUUAAAACAUUAUAUAUAUGGGUGUGUGUGUGUGUAACUUUAUGAUCAUUAAAACAUUAUAAACUCAGAUAUUGAUAAGAUCCGUCUACAAACUUAUCAAUUGUUUCGUAUGUGGACAUAAAUGAUUGAUUAACUAUUCAUAAUAAAACAAAUAUAUGUAAUUUUCUUGGUUUUAAUAAAGAAAGGAACUUACACCAACAGAUAACCACAGCUGCUAUAAUAUAGUCGGCCAUAAGGAUCCAUCCCCAACAAUUCUGCUCCUCGAAUAGACUUCCCUGCUUUCAUCGAAGGCUUAUCCUUGUUAAUUGCACAUUCAGGGCAAUACCAAUCCCCCUCUGGCAAGAGGCUGCUGACAACUCCUACGCAUCUGGAAUGAAAUGCCGCAGGACAACCAUCACAACAUAUUAAGUUCCCAUCCAUCUUACAUAGGCAGCACUCAUCACUGUUCCAAUCUGCAGUUUCUUCAACAUCCUCCUCUGUGAUGCAAGAACCGCUAGCAACAUCCAUUACCGCCUUUCUUUUCUUGGAGCUGUCAGACUUCAUAGUCCGAUCAAAAUCCACUUGUCGUUCGGUUGCCAUUGUCCUUCUAUUAAUCUCUGACCUGAUGGAUUCUACAUCCAUCGCAUCAUCACAAAGGCGCCGCAGUAUCUCAAUCUUUGUCAUCACAGGUAGUUUGUAAUAGUCACUCUGAGAAAGCUUCAAGUGACAGAGAUCGAAACCAGAGACGUAUCCAGAACUGUAUACUAACAGAUACUCAACAACAAACACGGGCCAUGUGAUCAAAUCCAGCAAAUCCCAAUUAUGAGA
rnacentral:lncRNA from 1 species